AAACAUACACACACUCCUGAUUCCAGAAACACAAAAGGAGCUGACUCAAAAGGGAGUGUCCGGUGCAGGCAUGCAGGGAGGAAGAAUGACUCUGAGCUUGACCACUCAACUUCAAAACUUUAACAAUCAAUGGAUCAACACACACUGGUGUACGGUCUGCUGUGCAUGCAGCCCUGUGCUAGGCAAAAGAAGUAUCAGAGCAGGAACUGACAGUCUUGCUGCAACAGGAAGACAGGCUUCACACAAUAAGCAUUUCAUUCAACCAGGCUAGACCCCUGCUUAUUGAGUUGAACAUCACCGAGCACAAAAUGCAAGCCAGAUACCAUAAGAGCUGUAAGGAUGAUAAAGACGCCUCUCCGCCCUCGAGAGCUCUAAGUGUGGUGGUCGGGAGAGAAACACACAGAAGGAUUAUGCUGGCUGGAGGGAAAUGCUGGAAUGAAGGUGGAAGCCUUCUAUUCAUCUAAAAGCUCCAGUAAUUAACAAUGCUAAUAAAUGUAUAAUUCCUUUGUAAACAUCUCUUCACAAGGUCAUAAAAGAAGGAAGACUGAAUGAAGGAUGCCAGGCUUUCAUUUUAGAAUUAAUUUUGUCAUUGAAUGCACUCACUGCAUUAUUUGAUAGAGUACUUUUGCAUUUGAAGUAGUACAUUUGCCUUCCACCAUCUCAUUAACAUUGCUUUCAAAAGAAUCAGAAAUAACACAAAUCACUGCAGGGUACUUUUGAAUGCUCAUUUGACUAUGCAGUGACAUCAAGUGGCGAGUUGAGGAAUGACCAUAUGCUGUGUGAGAACUCCAUGUUAAAAAUUCCGUGGAGCCAGGCUGGACACCACAUCUGGCACUUUCAUCUGUUUAGAUUUCAGAGAAUUAAAAGGAAAUGGUCACCGACCUGCCUUUGAUAGUACCCUUUAAAGAGAUACCCCUUCCCACCAUAAGAAACCAGCAUUCCUUAGAGAAAUGGCUAAUUCCAGCUCUGGGGCAAGAAAUGCUAAGAUGUGCUCAAAACAUCUCAUUAUACCAGAAAGCCAGGGAGCCAUCAAAGACUACUAGAGUUGUGUCAAAAGGACCAAGAAACCAAAUUGAAGAGGCUCCCACUGGCCAACAGUGGGGCAAUCAGAGCAUCAAUAAGAAUAAUAACUGCAACAAACUGAAACAUAUCAAAUAUGUUUAAAUUCAUACGUUUAUAAUUACACUCAAAAAACAAAGAUGCAGACCACCUCACCUUGAGAAUGUUACAGAAUGAAACUAUCAUUCUGAAAACUGGUAAAUAAAGAGAAGUUAUCAAGCAAGCAUGUAUCUGGCUUUUUCUAUACGAAAUAAAGGAAGCCAAAUAGUAAACAAGGGGAAGUUCCUCUUUACCGAAAUAUUUCAGGUAAUAAAAGAAGAAAGAAAAACAGAGAACAUGAUCGUUGUAUGGCCUCUAAUGGAACAAGACAUCUAGGCAAUGAUGAACUAUGGUCACCAACAUGACUCAAUCAGGGACAAUCAGACACUGUGGGCACCUGAAGGAAGUAAACACCACCACCUAGGAAAUAUUCUCACCAAAACUUCAAAAACUUGAAUCUGAUCCGGCCUUUAGUUUCAACUACUAAUUUACAGGCAAUACAGGGCUCGAGGGAUGUGGUAAAAUGUCAUGGAAAUACAAUCAGCAAAAUCCAGUACAGAUAAUAAUAGGACAAAUGAUCCACAGAUGGAAAGGAAGAAUGUAAAGGUGUGUUGGUAAAGAAAUUCACAGAUUAAUAAAAGCUUAAAAAUGUACCA